CCUACGGGAGGCUGCAGUGAGGAAUAUUGGUCAAUGGACGAGAGUCUGAACCAGCCAAGUAGCGUGAAGGAUGACUGCCCUAUGGGUUGUAAACUUCUUUUAUAUGGGAAUAAAAUGUGCCACGUGUGGGAUUUUGUAUGUACCAUAUGAAUAAGGAUCGGCUAACUCCGUGCCAGCAGCCGCGGUAAUACGGAGGAUCCGAGCGUUAUCCGGAUUUAUUGGGUUUAAAGGGAGCGUAGGUGGAUGGUUAAGUCAGUCGUGAAAGUUGGCGGCUCAACCGUAAAAUUGCAGUUGAAACUGGCAUCCUUGAGUGCAGUAGAGGUAGGCGGAAUGCGUGGUGUAGCGGUGAAAUGCUUAGAUAUCACGAAGAACUCCGAUUGCGAAGGCAGUUCACCGGACUGCAACUGACGCUGAGGCACGAAAGUGUGGGUAUCAAACAGGAUUAGAUACCCGUGUAGUC
rnacentral:rRNA from 1 species